AGAGUUUGAUCAUGGCUCAGGAUGAACGCUGGCGGCGUGCCUAACACAUGCAAGUCGAGCGAUUCUCUUCGGAGAAGAGCGGCGGACGGGUGAGUAACGCGUGGGUAACCUGCCCUGUACACACGGAUAACAUACCGAAAGGUAUGCUAAUACGAGAUAAUAUGCUUUUAUCGCAUGGUAGAAGUAUCAAAGCUCCGGCGGUACAGGAUGGACCCGCGUCUGAUUAGCUAGUUGGUAAGGUAACGGCUUACCAAGGCGACGAUCAGUAGCCGACCUGAGAGGGUGAUCGGCCACAUUGGAACUGAGACACGGUCCAAACUCCUACGGGAGGCAGCAGUGGGGAAUAUUGCACAAUGGGCGAAAGCCUGAUGCAGCAACGCCGCGUGAGCGAUGAAGGCCUUCGGGUCGUAAAGCUCUGUCCUCAAGGAAGAUAAUGACGGUACUUGAGGAGGAAGCCCCGGCUAACUACGUG
rnacentral:rRNA from 1 species